rnacentral:rRNA from 1 species
GCAGCUAUAAUGCAGUCGAACGAACUCUGGUAUUGAUUGGUGCUUGCGUCAUGAUUUACAUUUGAGUGAGUGGCGAACUGGUGAGUAACACGUGGGAAACCUGCCCAGAAGCGGGGGAUAACACCUGGAAACAGAUGCUAAUACCGCAUAACAACUUGGACCGCAUGGUCCGAGUUUGAAAGAUGGCUUCGGCUAUCACUUUUGGAUGGUCCCGCGGCGUAUUAGCUAGAUGGUGGGGUAACGGCUCACCAUGGCAAUGAUACGUAUCCGACCUGAGAGGGUAAUCGGCCACAUUGGGACUGAGACACGGCCCAAACUCCUACGGGAGGCAGCAGUAGGGAAUCUUCCACAAUGGACGAAAGUCUGAUGGAGCAACGCCGCGUGAGUGAAGAAGGGUUUCGGCUCGUAAAACUCUGUUGUUAAAGAAGAACAUAUCUGAGAGUAACUGUUCAGGUAUUGACGGUAUUUAACCAGAAAGCCACGGCUAACUACGUGCCAGCAGCCGCGGUAAUACGUAGGUGGCAAGCGUUGUCCGGAUUUAUUGGGCGUAAAGCGAGCGCAGGCGGUUUUUUAAGUCUGAUGUGAAAGCCUUCGGCUCAACCGAAGAAGUGCAUCGGAGACUGGGAAACUUGAGUGCAGAAGAGGACAGUGGAACUCCAUGUGUAGCGGUGAAAUGCGUAGAUAUAUGGAAGAACACCAGUGGCGAAGGCGGCUGUCUGGUCUGUAACUGACGCUGAAGCUCGAAAGUAUGGGUAGCAUACAGGAUUAGAUACCCUGGUAGUCCAUACCGUAGACGAUGAAUGCUAAGUGUUGGAGGGUUUCCGCCCUUCAGUGCUGCAGCUAACGCAUUAAGCAUUCCGCCUGGGGAGUACGGCCGCAAGGCUGAAACUCAAAGGAAUUGACGGGGGCCCGCACAAUCGGUGGAACAUGUGGUUUAAUUCGAAGCUACGCGAAGAACCUUACCAGGUCUUGACAUACUAUGCAAAUCUCAUAGAUUAGACGUUCCCUUCGGGGACAUGGAUACAGGUGGUGCAUGGUUGUCAUCAGCUCGUGUCGUGAGAUGUUGGGUUAAGUCCCGCAACGAAGGCAACCCUUAUUAUCAGUUGCCAGCAUUAAGUUGGGCACUCUGGUGAAACUG